rnacentral:SRP_RNA from 1 species
GGUUGGGUUUCGCGCAAUUGAAAGUUUUGAACCGUGUCAGGUCCUAACGGAAGCAGCACUAAGACUCUGGAGAUGUGCCGCGGAACUCAGCCACC